ensembl:lncRNA
GAGGGUCCUGCUGCCCAGGUGUGCUGUUAUUAGCUAAUUAACCUGUGAUUAAAUAGAGCUUAUUUGCUGUGCCUCAUUUGUUUGGUCAGGUCCUCGGUGGGUGCAGGCUUGGUGCAAUAGUCUGUAGGAGAGCAGCUCAUUGGCAGCGGUGGUGUUUCUCCCAUGGAGCCUUCUCUCAUCCUGCAGCCCUAGAGCUGUGAGGAGAGCAGCCCUGGGCAGUCCUGUGCUUCCAGAGCACCCCUUCCAACAGCAAAAUGCUCCUCCUGAAAGCUGCAUGCACGUUAAGUGUGUGUGCUCCCAUCGUGAGCGUGGAUGCAGUUGUGUGCGUUGGCUGAUGGAUGUAAAAGCAGCUUUGUGAUCUAGAAGGUGAGGUCCAUCUCAGCUGCUGGAGGUCCUUGGUCUGCCAUGGGUGGAAAACCGGGUUCAGUUCUGGGCUCCCCAGUUCCAAAAAGAUGAGGAUCUUCUGGAAAUGGUCCAGUGGAGGGUGACAAAAGAUGAUUAACGACCUGGAGCCUCUGCAGUGUGAGGAAAGGCUAAGAGCCCUUGGAACACUCAGUCUGAGAAGAGAAGGCUGAGAGGGGCUUAUGGCUGUUCAUAAAUCUCUACAAUGCAGGAGUCAAGUCAACGGGGACAGACUCUUCCCACUGGCAUGCAGCAACAGAACAAAGGGCAAUGGGCAGAAACUGGAACACAAGUACUAACACAAAGAAGAACUUCUGUACAGAGUGACAGAGCUGGAAGAAGCCGCCCAAAGAGGUGGAGUGGACCAGUUGCCUUCACUGGACGUAUUCAAGACCCAUCUGGAUGCCUCUCUGUGUGACCUACUUUAGGGAAGCUGCUUUAGUGGGGAGGGUGGACUUCAGGAUCUCUGGAUGUCAUUUCCAACCCCUACAAUUCUGUGCCCUGCUGAGCCUGCUUGGUGAUCAUGGGUGGAGCUGCAGCUUUGCAUGUGAGCUCUGUGCUGCUCCGUCUCUCCCAUUACCAGUCUUGACUGUGGGGUCUCUCACGGCAUAGAGCUGCAAGGAGUACAAUUACUGCCUCAUCCAUUUAAGUUGAUCAGCAGUUCAUCUGACUGGGAAUCAGUAAUAUGCUUAAGGAAUUGUCACAGCACAAAAAUAAAGGGGAAUUGAGGGAUCUGAACAUCCGACUCUUCUCUGGUGCUUCAGAAAUAUCCUGCAAAGCUCUUCCACUGACAUACCCUUUACACCAGAAGACUGAGCAUAGACUACAGCAAAAUAUACAUUGAGGAGGGGUGCAUUUUGACAAUGCAGCAAUGUCAGUUAUUGAGCACUACCAUAUCUUACAGCAGGAACAUUCCUAAUGUACUAAUUGUCAAAGUCAAAGCCUUGAAGGCACUGCUAACACUUUCUCAUCUGUUCUGCACUGCCAUUUCCCAAAUCCCUCUUGGGCAAUUCAUUCUGUGCAGACAGCUGUGAGCAGUAGCAGGCUGUGGGUUUAGGUAGUAUGGGGUUUUUUUGUUUCUCAUUUCAUCCCCCAAUGCAUGUUGAUUUGAGGUUAGGCUUAACAGGUACUUGCUGGCACAGAACUUUUGCAUAUGGUUUUUUUUGUUUGCAUGCUAUUUUUUUCUGCCAAGAGUUUAAUAAUAUACACCAUUAGCAAAGUGGUGUUCAUAAGGCAGAAUUUGGAAUUAAACAUGGAUUAACUUUUAAGCUACCAGAUGACCACCAAGCAUUCCUUUACAGGAUCUGGCACUAUUGCUUUUUCUCUGUAAUAUGGAACGUAAACCAUUUCUGUUCCAACAGUGGUUCCACCAAGCAGUCUGGUUGUUUGGGUUUUUUUUCUAUGACGAGGUCUAUCAGCUUUGUUUCACAUGACAAUAGGACCACUGUUAGUCUGAGAAAAACAGUAUGAAAGUCAUCUACUGUGUGCUGCAGUCUGCACAUACAUUGCCUGUUAACAGGCCUGACCAAAUUCCAAUGUGAAAUCAGAUCUGUGUCCUCCUUGUACAUAGGUUGCUCUGAAAGUAAUGCCUCCUAUUUAUUUCCACGGAAGCUACAGCAGACAAAGAGCACAAUAACACUAUUUGAUAGAGCAAAUUCUCAGCCACAAAACACCAUUUUUUUUUUCAGCAUAGCCACCAUCAUUAACUAUACAUUUUCACCGGUGAUGAACAAGAGCCUGUGUGCCUCUCUUAUAAAAACCUGCACCAAUAGAGGGAACUCGUUGUUUCACGUCUGCUGUGAUAGCAUUGUUGCUGAAAUGCACCACUUUGCUAUGCUCACACUCACUGCUUGGCCUCCAUAAAUGCUCAACAAGGGUAAUGGGUGCCAUUUUUUCCCUAUCUUCUGUACAUGGAAUACCUUUAGUAAGCUGUGACCUGAAGGCAGCAGGUUAGUCCAGUGCAAGACAACAAGCCAAGCCUGUAACAAAGUUCCAGGUGUUCUGGAACAAAGAGUGAUUUUAAACUUUUGGUUAUUUAUUUCUUUAUUGCUAGAAACUCCUGGCAUGAUGUUACAGGUCUGUCUGUACAGGUGCUACAGGAACUACCAGUAUACAAGACCCAAUUUAGUCAGGACAAACAGCAUCUUUCAAGCAAGGAAAGUGUUAAGUUCUGCUGCAGAUUGUGGGCUUGUGUGAGUCUGGGAAGGCAGCAACAAGUUCUGCUGCCUCGUGGACACUCAGGCAGUUGUGGUGUCCCUGGACAGGCUUUCCAGCAGCUGGAAAUUGUAUUGUAUUUACCCUGCCACCUGCUGAGAUUUUUCUGUUUUCUUAAUAGCCAAGGGUUGAGUUUUGCUGAGAUUCAGCCUGUUCCCAUCACUCUACCACUUUCCUCCCAAGACUGCAUUGAAACUGCUUUAUUUCCAUAUUGGUAGCAAGGUAGCAGUUCCUUCUGCUGUAGCGUGUGUGUGAUCUGUUAACACAUACACCAAAUAUGACAUUUUCCAGUGCUCUAGAUGUUUCAUUAUGAUGGAUUAUUGGUGCACCUAUUGAGGGUAACGCACUGUGCACCGGCCUGUCUCCAGGAGACUUCUCAUACACAGAUGGAAGGGCAAUGCUGCUGUUAUUACUGUGUUAUUUUUUAACACGUUUAUUUUGUCUUGUGUUGAGCUAGUGGUUUUGAUGAUAAAAAAAGUAUUUGCUUUGUCUUUGUCAUAUCUCAUUUGCCUUGUCUGCUCUGGAG